rnacentral:misc_RNA from 1 species
GAUGAAGAACGCAGCGAAAUGCGAUAAGUAGUGUGAAUUGCAGAAUUCAGUGAAUCAUCGAAUCUUUGAACGCACAUUGCGCCCCUUGGUAUUCCAUGGGGCAUGCCUGUUCGAGCGUCAUUUCAACCCUCAAGCACAGCUUGGUGUUGGGACUCGCGUUAAUUCGCGUUCCCCAAAUUGAUUGGCGGUCACGUCGAGCUUCCAUAGCGUAGUAGUAAAACCCUCGUUACUGGUAAUCGUCGCGGCCACGCCGUUAAACCCCAACUUCUGAAUGUUGACCUCGGAUCAGGUAGGAAUACCCGCUGAACUUAAGCAUAUCAAUAAGCGGAGGA